AGAGUUUGAUCAUGGCUCAGGAUGAACGCUGGCGGAGUGCCUAACACAUGCAAGUCGAGCGGCAGCGCGAGUAGUUUACUACUUGGCGGCGAGCGGCGGACGGCUGAGUAACGCGUGGGAACAUGCCCCAAAGUGAGGAAUAACUGCCCGAAAGGGUAGCUGAUGCCGCAUACGAUCUUCGGAUUAAAGGAUUUAUCCGCUUUGGGAGUGGCCUGCGUACGAUUAGAUAGUUGGUGAGGUAAUGGCUCACCAAGUCUACGAUCGUUAACUGGUUUGAGAGGAUGAUCAGUCAGACUGGAACUGAGACACGGUCCAGACUCCUACGGGAGGCAGCAGUGAGGAAUCUUCCACAAUGGACGAAAGUCUGAUGGAGCAACUCCGCGUGCAGGAUGAAGGCCUUCGGGUCGUAAACUGCUUUUAUGAGUGAAGAAUAUGACGGUAACUCAUGAAUAAGGGUCGGCUAACUACGUG
rnacentral:rRNA from 1 species